rnacentral:tRNA from 1 species
AAAGGGAGACCUAAUUCAGGUAGGAGACGAAAAAAAAGUAGUCCCUACCAAGAAUCAAUCCCAAAAGGUCGGAGCGAGGCAAAAUUGGCUUUCAAACUAGGUUCUGGGUUCACACAAGACCUGAAUCAGGAACAAGGGCUAUUAGCUCAGGUGGUUAGAGCGCACCCCUGAUAAGGGUGAGGUCCCUGGUUCGAGUCCAGGAUGGCCCACCUGUACAGGUGGCAAAAACAAAGAAAAGAAGCUCCGAAUCAGCACCUUAUCUUACUUAUAUAGUAAGAGAGAAUGCUGGCUCUGAGUACAGAGUCCAGAGGAACCUUGAAAACUGCAUAGAGCUAGGUGAAAAAGCCAUAAAAGAAGACCGCAAG